GCACCGGUGGUAUAGUGGUAGCAUGCGCCCCUCGAAUGGGUAACACGCGGUUUCAACUCCUGCCCAGUGUC